GGCUGCGCCCGCCCCGCGGCCGGACGCCGCCGAGCCCCGGAGGAAGCUGCCCUCCGCCGGAGCCCGGCCGCCCGCCUCCCCUCCGCCCGCCGCCGCCCGCCCUGCCGCCUUCCCGCCAGCCGGGAGGGGAGCGGAGGGGAGGGGACGGGAGGGAGGGCGCCGCCGUCCCUCCCGGCGGAGAGCCCGAGGUGAGCCGCCGGGGGAGCGGGGCGCGGGAAGGGGCGGUGGCUCCCCGGGAACCGCCUCGGGGCACGCCCGCCUCGCCGCCACGAGCCGGCCCCGCGGCCCCUCCCGGAGGGAUCCCCGUGCAGCCCCCGCAGCCGGGCUCAUCUGCUUGGGAGGGCGAGGGGAUCCCCGGGGUGGGAGUGGAACUGCGGGGCCAGGGCAGCCCACGGCAUCCUCCCUGGAGCCGUGUGAGACGGGGCUUCCCGGCGCCGUGCCGCUGCCCUCCCCUGCCCCUUGGCCUGCUGCUGUAUGGCUGGGGGACUGAGCCCAGCUGGCCCUUGGCGCAUCCUGGGAGCGGUGCCCAGAGGAGGACGCAGAGGAGAGGGAGGUAGCUGGCCUGGGAGCCGUGCUCUGCCUUGCCUUGCCCUGCCCUGCAAGGGUCUCAAGCCGUCCCCUUACAGCCAGGGGUGUGGUGUGCGUGUACAGGUGCCGGGCCUGGGGCUCCCUAGAGCCGUGCCUAUGAGGAUGCCAACGAUACAGACCGAGAUGGACAUGUUUUGCCAGGCAAAACCUCCACUGGCUUAAACACGUGUAUAACUGCGCUUGUCACACGGGACAGUAAUGAAGGGAAACGACACUGGUACCAAAGGGAUGUACGGUGAGAGCUGUCACCUGUGGUACUCUUAACUUUGUGUAAAACAUUGAUUGGGAUGAAGACAGCACAGUUGUUAUUAUUUUUAACCUCCUUCCAGGUUAAUUAGUCCUUUCAGCAGGACCGAUUGGCAUGGAAACAGAAGAAUGCUAACUUAGCUAUGUUGCCUUUGGUUCCAGCAGCAGCUCCUCAGUUCCAGAGCUCUUCACCAUGCUCUGUGAACAUAUAAACACACCCUUGGCCAGCUCUUGAUUCUGGUUACACUGCAAUUAGUGGCCACUGGUCCAUGACAAAGCACAGCAUUUCACUAGGGAGAAGAGCUAUGUCUUCCUUUUGCAUUCUGUUUUUCCUUCUACAUAUCCUCUUCCUUUAGAAAAGCUGCUACAAAAGGAUGGAUGCUUGAGGAAUGCUGUGGUGUUACGUACAGGUGAGAAAGCAUGGAUGGCUUUUCAUGUCUUCUCAACAAAUUCUUGAAAAGAAAGACAAGUGCAAUCCAUGGUGUAUAUCCUGACCUUGUUGCUGUUGUAGUUAAUAAUAAAGCUCCAAAUAAAAGAAGGAGCAGGUUCAGGUUUAAAAACAAUAUUAAACUAUAUAGGCAAUGUGGGACAAUGGAGAGAAACUGAGCAUUGCCAAAUCAUGUGGUUUCAUGUUAAUAUUUGGAUUUUUUAUUAGUGCCAUAAUUACUAUGAUUAUAAAGUAAUUGAAAAUCUUAGCAUUCAUUUUAAAACUUUAUUAGGCUUACAAUGAAAGCUUGAGAAUUGUGGCAUGAAGCAUAUAUGACUCAAGGGCUCAAAAAUGAAAAGUCAAUAAACAAAUAUAAUAAUAAAUAGAAUAAAUAUUAUAAUAAAUAUGAAUAAUAAUAGUAAUAACAAUAAGAAGAACAAUAAUAAUAAUUAUUAUUAAUUUUCAGGCCUUGGGGCCUGAUGUUUUUUUAAUGAGCAUUAUUGAAGACCAGUUCUUUCAAAGACUUCAGAGAAAGUGAAUCUAGGAAAGGAUACUAAUUCAGUUUUCUCCUAAAUUCUGAAAGAAAGUAUUAACACCAAAUAAAAUAUUUCUUAUGAUAAAUUUAACGUGGUUUAAAAGUGCAUUUAAGCACUAAUAGCUUUUUUAAAAUAGAUUGUCAGUUCCGUAACAGAAAUAAAAAAGGUAGAGAACACUAUUUCUGAUUAAUGUGCUAUUCUGAUCCUUUGGAAACACAUCUGAAGUAGGAAUGAAUCAAGAGUGUUUUAGAGUCUGUCAUAUUUUGUCACACUUAACUCUUUGUCCUCUUGAUCUUACAGGGCAACCAUUUCCUUUUACUUUUGAACAAUUUAAAAAUAAUCCAGGUUGGACCUGAUGGGACAAGGAAGUAUUUAGUGGCUUAUGGAGCAUUUGUUCCUUGGGACUCUGGAUUCAAUUAGGCUUAGUAGUAACCAAAGGACGUUAAAAAUUAUAAACAAUAAAUUUCACAAAAGGUCAAGAUCAUCUCGUUGUGGCAUUUGCAGUGAAAGCAGCACUGUGGGUUUUGUCUGCAGGAAAAACUCAGAACAAAGCUGCUGUGGCAAUGGUCUGGAGGUAAGACCCAGCAAAGGCCUGUACAGUGCAGAGUAUUCAAGGAAAUAAUGGAAGCCGAGACUUUUGGGGAACUAUUUAAUGUGGCCAAUAAGGAAAAAGUGGGCACAGAAAUAGACUCCUUGUCUUGCCCCAGAAUUCACCAACCUGACUUUGCUUCUGGAAUUAGGCUCUCAAACAUCUCCUUUCAAAAAGCAAGCAGGUUAUUUCAAGGCAUGACAGGAAGGAGUCUGGGCACUUUUAUUCACUAAAGCAAAACAGAGCAUCCAGGCACAAUCUGUAGAUUCUUCAUCCAAGAAAAUCCCAAGGAUGUAUCUCCUGAGAUCAGUCCAGACUGCAGGACCUCAGGGUAAACCUUUGUUAUUUGGAAUGUUGCACUUUUCAGCAAACAGUUAAGUAGGGGAGAGGGAAGAAGUUAACAUAACUCUGUGGCGUAGUGAUUUGACUGUUACCUGGGAAGUACUGUCAUUUCAUAAAUAAUCCAGUGAUUCAUGAAUUAAUUACUGGAUAAAAUAAAUCAAUGUUCAGUGGUGUAAGGAACAGAACCCAGUUCUCUCCUCUUAGGUGCCUUCAUCAUUGCUCACUCUCACUCUUACUCUUUUUUCUUUCCGUCCUAGUAAAAUUAUCCCUGUAAAAUAUGAGACUUUGAACGUUGUAGUUCAGGGACUAAAAUUCAUCACCUUUUCUACUACUUUGGUGAAUGUUCCAGCCUCUGGGCCAUUGGACAGUUAAGAUCUAUGCUCCUGACGAAAUUUUGUUCAAUAAGGUAAGCACAGCAUAUGUUUUUUCUUUCUUAGCAUUGCCAAUAUUGUAAAGGCCACUUCAAAAAUGGAUAAAUCUAAACUGCAAAGGCAAGCAUUAUGUGUGAAGGAGCAAAAGGAGUGUCCUUGAGCUAAUGCAAAUACAUGUGGAAGAAUACAACUGCCAAGCCUACAAGUGAAAGAAGUCCUUGGGAAGGGACUGGAACAGAGCACACUCAGCCCUUGUCAAAGAACAGAACUUGUUGAAGGCAUUGGGAUUGGAAUGAGAAGCCACUCAAAAUUUUGGAACAAAUUCCAUUUUUCUUCAUAAUUCUCAUUCUCCAUUCUUCUAAUGGAGAUACAGAAGAGGAGGCAAUGACAGGAAGGCUAGAGAAGAGGAGAGGUCUGCUCACAACUGAUGCAUUUGCAGUAUUACCACUAUCAUUCACCAGACUGUAGGAGAAAGACUGGCUUCAGAAUCAGGGAAGAAGUAUUUGAUCACACCAUGCAAUGCAUCACUGAGCUCUUGUGCUGGAAAGUGGUACUGAGGGUUUACCUGACAAAAUGAACUCAAAUCCACUUACAAGCUGAGAACAUUCCAGGCAAAUCUUCAAACUAGGCUCGAAAACCAUUCCAAAGAUUCUACAGAUUCCUCUCCUGAAACAAUUUGGCACCAUACUAAAAACAGCAUCCUGCAAUCCUCUGAAGAAUCCUUAGGGUUCUCCUUCAAGAAGAACAAGGACUGGUACGAUGAAAACAAUCAAGAGAUCCAGGAAUUGUUGAGGAAGAAGAGAACACCCACCAAGCACACCUUGCACUGCCAUCCUGUCACGCAAGAAAAACAGCCUUUCGUCUUGCAUGCAGCAAGCUCCAACAGAAACUCCGUGACAUCCAGAACAAGUGGUGGAUCAGUCUAGCUGAAAAAACUCAAUUAUGCGCAGAUACGGGUGAUCACAAAGGAUUCUAUGAGGCCUUGAAAACAGCAUACGGGCCUACAUACCAGGUACAAAGCCCUCUACUCAGCGCUGAUGGUCAAACACUUCUGACAGACAAAACCUCCAUUCUGA